UACGUAGGGGGCAAACGUUGUCCGGAUUUACUGGGCGUAAAGGGCGCUCAGGCGGUCUUGUAAGUUAGAAGUGAAAUCCUAGGGCUCAACUCUGGAACUGCUUUUAAUACUGCAAGGCUUGAAUAUGGAAGAGGAGGGUGGAAUUUCUGGUGUAGCAGUGAAAUGCGUAGAUAUCAGAAAGAACACCAGUGGCGAAGGCGGCCCUCUGGUCCAUUAUUGACGCUAAAGCACGAAAGCGUGGGGAGCAAACAGG
rnacentral:rRNA from 1 species